UAAUUUUUAUAUAUGAAUAUAAAGUUUUAUAAACAAACUUGCGAGAUAAUUUUUGAGCAAAACAGCCGAAAAAAUACGACAAAUUCAAGAAAGGUUCUUAUCGUAAACAAUUUUCAAAAUUAAUUGUCUUUAAGUACGACCGAAAUAUGACAACCUACUUGCAUAUUUUUCUUCAAAACAGUACAUACCAUAACACAAAGCUUCAAUAAGGCGUCUUCCUCGCUCGCAGAUUUCACUUGAAAUUGGAAAGAAAUUAUAUAACGAAUUUCAUGUUCAUAUCAACAAUGACGAACGUUGCAGUCAACACUCGGUUGUUCAUUUCUUAAGCUCUAGUAGAUCUUGUAUUCUCAUUGCCACAGUUUCUUCAAAAAUCAAAACAGCUUUGAACUUGUUUGAUUUUGUUUGAGGCAGUUGUUGAAAUUUUGUUUGGCUCAAAAUUGAAAAACAACUAAACAUGAUUACGUGAUUGAUAUGUUUGUAAUAUUUCGCCCAAUUGCAACGAGGAAUGAUGACGUGUGCACACGCGUUUAUCCAAUCAGAUUAAAGAAAUAUAGCGAUAGCACACGUCAGCAAAUUGGAAUUUGGAUUUUGGAAAUCGGAACUUUUUAAAAAAAAAAUAAAACAGCGGCUUUUGCAUUUUAUAAUAAUCAGAGAAUAGAUAUUAUGGACUAUAAUCUCUCCUAUGUGAUUUAAUAUUGCCACCAAUGACAAUGAUUAAAUGAGAAAGUGAAGCCGGAAGUGUCCAUUUCGUGCGAUUUUAUAUCUCUUUACUCACAUUUUCGGUUUGUUUCCCAACAACAGGCUUGUUGAAACUUGUUGUGACAGGACAAAAAUUGUUUGUUGUGG
rnacentral:lncRNA from 1 species